rnacentral:rRNA from 1 species
UACGUGAGGGUGCAAGCGUUGUCCGGAUUCAUUGGGCGUAAAGAGCGUGUAGGCGGCCAGGUAGGUCGGUUGUGAAAACGUGGAAGGCUCAACCUUCAGAGGUCGACCGAAACCAUCUGGCUAGAGUCCGGGAGAGGAGAGUGGAAUUCCUGGUGUAGCGGUGAAAUGACGCAGAUAUCAGGAAGAACACCCGUGGCGAAAGCGGCUCUCUGGAACGGUACUGACGCUGAGACGCGAAAGCGUGGGGAGCGAACAGG